UACGUAGGGAGCAAGCGUUAUCCGGAUUUACUGGGUGCAAAGGGCGCGCAGGCGGGCCGGUAAGUUGGAAGUGAAAUCUAUGGGCUUAACCCAUAAACUGCUUUCAAAACUGCUGGUCUUGAGUGAUGGAGAGGCAGGCGGAAUUCCGUGUGUAGCGGUGAAAUGCGUAGAUAUACGGAGGAACACCAGUGGCGAAGGCGGCCUGCUGGACAUUAACUGACGCUGAGGCGCGAAAGCGUGGGGAGCAAACAGG
rnacentral:rRNA from 1 species